ACGAUCCAACCAUUCAAUUUAAAGUUCUUAAUGCAUAGAUCAAAUCUGUAAAUUUUUAAAAAAUUUAAAAACCAUUUGAUACUUCAUUUCAUUAAUUCAAAUUGACGGAUAAUCACAGAAUCAUUUUAUACAUUGAUUCGAAUUAAUGAAACAAAAUAUCAAAUGAUAUUCAAAUUUUCUAAAUAUUUGCAGAUUUGAUCUAUGCAUUAAGAACUUUAAAUUGAACGGUUGGAUCGU
rnacentral:miRNA from 1 species